UACGGAGGGUGCAAGCGUUAUCCGGAUUCACUGGGUUUAAAGGGUGCGUAGGUGGGCAGGUAAGUCAGUGGUGAAAUCUCCGGGCUUAACCCGGAAACUGCCGUUGAUACUAUUUGUCUUGAAUGUCGUGGAGGUGAGCGGAAUAUGUCAUGUAGCGGUGAAAUGCUUAGAUAUGACAUAGAACACCAAUUGCGAAGGCAGCUUACUACACAAUCAUUGACGCUGAGGCACGAAAGCGUGGGGAUCAAACAGG
rnacentral:rRNA from 1 species